rnacentral:snRNA from 1 species
AACCACUUCGGUGGUCAUCCGUAAAAAUUGGAACGAUACAGAGAAGAUUAGCAUGGCCCCUGCACAAGGAUGACACGCAUAAAUCGAGAAGUAUCGCACUUUUUG